rnacentral:lncRNA from 1 species
CAGGACACAGUGGGGCAGGCUCAUCUCUAUAGAGCAGCUUGAGAUCUGGGGCUAGAAUAAUUUGAAACAUUACUCACUCACAGGUCUGGUGGUCCAUACUGGUAAGAGUCAAAGACCUGAGGGCCCUCUAGCCUCUUUCUGUCUCUAAUCCAACCCCACCAGUCUCUCUGACCUCAUCUCUUUCUUCUCUGCACUCUAACCAACUGGCCUUCUUAUUCUCUUCAAAUCCAAGUAUGUUCCUGCCUCAGAAUCUAUGCAUGGGCUGUUUGUUUCUGUCUAGAAUGUACUUCCCCCAUAUUGUCUCAUGUCUCCUCCCUUACCUUAUUUGGGUCUUAAGAGUUAACAAUCAGUGAGACCUUCCCUGACCAUCCUAUCUAAAAAGCCAUCCAUUCCUAUGGCUAACUUUUUAUCCUGCUUUAUUUUUUCCUCAUAGCACUUAUAUUUAUUGUUUAUUGACUGCUUCCUCUACUGGAAUAUAAGCUCAUGAGAGCAGAAACCCUUCCUAACUUUUUCAACAUUAUAUUUCCAGUGCUAAAACAGUAACUUUACAUGGUAGGUACUCAAUAAACACAUUUGAAUGAAAACUAGAAUUAAAAAGCGUUUUUUUUUUUUUGUCCUGUUCUUUCUUUGUUUAGUUACCUUAAAAACCUGUGAAGUAAUAAUGAACUAUCUGGAAAGAAAAUUAGGAAAACUCCCAUUUAUAAUUGCACUGAAAAAAAUAAAAUACUUAGGAGGUGAAAGACUUGUACACUAAAAACCACAAAACAUUGAUUAAAAAAAAUUAAAGACGACAGACUGAGGGAGAGAGACAGAGAAAGAGGGGAGAAGGAGGAGGAUUCAGGGAAUAGGAGCUGGGGAGCCCUUCUGUGCCACAGAAGUAGAAGUAGAGAUACUCAAGAUUAUGGCAGACAGGAGGCAGGACUAGAUUGCAGCUCUGACUUGGAUGGACAGAACACUGUGUGGAGGGUCGCAUCAUGAAUUUUAGCUCCAGAAUGACUGCAGGAAUAAAUCAGGAAUCCCAGAGGACCCACAGACCCUCUGAAGGAAGUGGAUUGCUCCUGCAGGACCCGGGAGACACCCCAAAUACCGCUCUGAUCUAACACAAGCCUUGUCCAGCCUCAUCUUGAGUUUUCAGCUGAGGAAACGGAGGCUCAAAUGCUCGUCAGUUUCCCAGGGACGUGGGCUGGUGAUAUACCUGCUCAUAUCCACUGCCUGUUUUUAGAGAAGAGGCAUCCAGAAUGGCAGAAAGAUGCAUGGCAAUGUCCUCAUUGUGUCAGGCGUGGCUUGGGUCCCUGUACCCUACUGAAGAAAUUUGAAGGUGCCACAGAAGAGAACCCAAAACAAGCCACAGAAAUGAGCCAAAGUAAUUAAAGAAUGUUACCAUGUUACCUACCAUGCCUCAGGCAUUGAGCUAAACGACCAGGCUACAAAGAUGCACAGAGAUGCCUUACCUUGAAGAGUUCAAGACCUGGGGUACAGAAUGGCCAGGGGCACAAGACAGC